UACGUAGGGGGCAAGCGUUGUCCGGAUUUAUUGGGCGUAAAGAGCGUGUAGGCGGCUUUGCAAGUCCGUUGUGAAAACUCGAGGCUCAACCUCGAGACGCCGGUGGAAACUGCAAAGCUAGAGUCCGGAAGAGGAGAGUGGAAUUCCUGGUGUAGCGGUGAAAUGCGCAGAUAUCAGGAAGAACACCCGUGGCGAAGGCGGCUCUCUGGGACGGUACUGACGCUGAGGAGCGAAAGCGUGGGUAGCAAACAGG
rnacentral:rRNA from 1 species